GAUGAAGAACGCAGCGAAAUGCGAUAAGUAACGUGAAUUGCAGAAUUCAGUGAAUCAUCGAAUCUUUGAACGCACAUUGCGCCCCCUGGUAUUCCGGGGGGCAUGCCUGUUCGAGCGUCAUUACAACCCUCAAGCUCUGCUUGGUAUUGGGCCCCGCCAGUUCUGGCGGGCCCUAAAGUCAGUGGCGGUGCCUUCCGGCUCCGAGCGUAGUAAUUCUUCUCGCUCUGGAGACCCGGUUGUGUGCUUGCCAACAACCCCCAAUUUUUUAAGGUUGACCUCGGAUCAGGUAGGGAUACCCGCUGAACUUAAGCAUAUCAAUAAGCGGAGGA
rnacentral:misc_RNA from 1 species